AGAAUGAGAGGGUUUCAAGCUGGGUAAGUAAAAUCGAAUGGAGGUGCAUAUUAGGGGCUGUUACAGAUGGGAAAGAAAGUACUUGGAGAAUAAAAAAAGAAAAAUGAAUAUUAGAGAACAGAGCACCCUUUUCACACUUGAAGAAUAGAGGAGAGAGAUAAAAAAUAAUGUAACAGCGGAGAUACAGGCUGGUGGAAAAAAAAGCUCCAGAAAUAUGAAGGACAUAUUUAAAUGUAAGAGAGAAAGAACAGCACAAAAAUAAUAGAGCAGAUCAAUUACCAGAGCUGUAGCCAAGGAAGGAGAAACUGUCAAAUGAAUAUUUCUGGAGCUGUGGAAAAGUCUCCUUACUUUGUGGGGGAUAUAGAGUGUGUUGGGUCUGUGUUCUUUUAUGAGGGGGUUCUUUUGGGGACUAACUCAAUAUUUGAAUUUGCUGCAGCGUCAGUAGCCCAAAGGGAGCGCUGGGGUGAAUGCCGACCUGGGCAGAAUUGGAUUAAUUACAUGUUUUUGUGACCUUUUUAUGCUGGUUGAAGUUUUAGCCCCUCAACAAUUACGUGUGUGUCUCUUUUGCUUUAAUUUCAAUGGUUAGGGACAUAUUAAGGUCCAGUCCCAAUUUUUCCCAUUUUAAUCUUCCCCUUACCUGCUGGAAAAGAAUCCCCUGGGUUUCCCCCAGGUCGUUUCCAGCUCACACUAGGGAAGCUGAAGUUGCGCUGUUUUCGUGGGACUGGACCAGCGGUAUUUCUCCUCAUUAGAACUUGUUUGUACAAUGUAAUGCACAACAGACAACGCGUUUAAAGCUGGUUGUAGUUACUAAGUUGUGUCCUUGAAAUUGAUAUUCAUUGUGGAAAUGGAAUUUUCUGAUCCAAGUACAGUAUUUGUGGUUUUAGUCGUUAGUCUCACUAGAGCAUUUUUCCUCCGCAUUUUCUGUUAGCUUUUUCUUUAUAAGCUUCACUGAUAAAAUUGUCAGAAAAGGGUUUGUUAUUUCAUAAAAUUUGUACUGGCUUCUGCUAAAAAUUUGGAAAACUCUGAAGCUGUUGGUACCACGCUGGCAUUUUUUUAGCCACUGAAAAUUUUUGAGCACUUGAUCAAAACCCAUUUUCAUGUUUCCAUUUUAAUGUUUUUGUAUGUAAGAAAAUUUGCCUAGAAACUGGAAACUAUAAAAAUCUUAAUGACAUUUCACAGCUUGAUUCUAUUCUUCCUGAGAAAUAACUAAAAGCAGUUGAAAAUUUGCUAAACUGGAAGAGAAAAAAAAGAAAAGCCACCCCAAAACUUUAAAAAAGCAAAAUCCUCCAGACUUGAAAGACAAAAUGCAUCAGCAAUUUAAAACAAACCAGAAAACCACUCUAUGGAGGUGGACAUGCCUUGGCUGUUUCCCAUCAUUAUAAAAGCUGCCUGUAUGGCAGGAGCGUUCAUGAAUAGUCAGGAUUGCAGCAUUUUGUACUAGAUGCUGUCCAAAGGAAGAAAGAAAAUGUACAUCUUCACCUCAGGUUAAUUGCAUUAGUUAUGGAAAUGCUCUAACCAUGGACUUCCAGGAUAACAAAUUCACGUGUACUUUUUUUUUCUUUGGCAAGGUGCAGUCAGCCCUUUGCAUAAGGCAACAGUGGCAAGUUUAGUGGAAAAUGACGGUGCUUUUAGUACCAGAGUUUUAAAGAUCACAAACUCUAAGGACUUGAAAAACAAAGAAAACCUUGUGACAGAGAAUAUUCUUCUUCAUUCAUCAUUUGAAACCCUGCCUCUAGAAGUGCUAAGAACAAAUUAUUUUCAAUAUGUGUUAGCCUCAGGGGAUUUGAUAAAAGGAGCUUUUCUUUUCCAGCUGGCUGAUGAAACGUGGUCUGCAGAAGACCUUAGUGACUUGGAUGGCAGUUCUGGGACUCCCCCAGAUACAGCAAACUUUUCCGAUCCAAGGAACCAAAACCUAAAGAUGUGUCACAGGCCUGAAGGAAUACAGGAGCUGGGCAGACAGGGCUCAUUCAUCAGCCUGUAAGCCUGGCAAUCUCCUGGGGAAAGGUGGAAAACAAAUUAAUAUCCCAUCUCCAAGCUCUCCUGUAGGUUCUCCAGUGCUGGACUGUUCCAAGUAAGGAAAGCAACUUUCAUAGUUGGGAGAGAUCCGUCUCGCUUCCACUCCAGAUAGAGUUGCAUGGAUGGUUUUCUCAACAAGAGAGCUAGCGAGGAGUUCCAGUCUGUCUUUCCUAUGCAGAUCCUAUCUACCAGUGCUAAACAAGCAUUUACCAGAGCUGCCAUCGGAUGUUGGUAUUGAAGAUUUGGGAUUUACAAAGUUGAUUUUGCUUCCUUGGAAGGGAACGCAGACCUCUUUGGUCACCUCCAUUAAAAAAUGCCCUGUUCUGUCCCUUGUGGACAUUUCCUCCUGACAAGCAAGACAGAGCUCUGAGGAAAGGCAGCAACCAGCAGGCCCGGGAGUGAUUUGUUUUCAAAUGAAGGAGUCCUGAACGUAGAAAUUGUUUCCUCUAAUGUUGUUUGCUUGCUUAUGCUGCUCUAGGGUGGCCCCUUAGACUCUGUGGCCAGUCGGCACAUGGGAUUUAUUUUAAUAUAUUUUCAUUUCCUUCAUUAUUAAUCCAUGCAAUUAAAACACUAAUACCACUGUAGAUGACCAUAGGUUUAUAUAGAUACAUUCAAAUUAGCCGUGUUAUCGAUAAUGAUCAAUUCAUGUGAUUCCAUCUUCAAUAAUCAUUGUACGGUUACACUCACAAACAAUCUGAAUUGGAGCAACACAUAUCAGAAUAGACCCGAAGUAUUUCAAGGUUCUCUUCUGAUCCAAUUUAUAUUUAAUAAUCAGAGAGCUGCUAAAUGAACUUCCCUGUUCUUAGAGUAGACAUCUGCCUGGCAGGGACUGAAACCCAGUCACCAGACUGUCCCUGUUAACAUUCACUUGGCGUGGAAGCUGUGAGCCACAUUCCUCGAAAGUACCUCGUUUUUCCAGCUGCUUCUUGUUAUCUGUGUUUCUGAUCAGCCUUGAACACUCAAAGAAAAAUCUGCCUGCUCCAAAUAUUGCCUGAGGAUUUAGAAAGUUCUUUCUUGGAAACAGAAGAAUGAGAUGAAACAAUCAUCUGUGAAGCCUGAAUACGCUUAAAAAUCUUGCUAUGGCUGUGAUGGGCCUUAUUAGCACUUGGAGGAGCUGGAUGGCAGUGUCACGCGUUCUUCUGCUGCACUAGAAAUCUCAGCUGGUGGAGAUGUCAGAGCUAACCUUGGAAUAAAUAUGCUGGAUGUCCAGGUGUGAGCCAGACAUCAGGAUUUGUGGGUCUUUCGCCAGUGCGUGGGUUGGAGUGAACCAUUACAAAUCCAUCUUUGCAAAAGAAACUGUGACCUGGGGACUGCCCAAUUCAAUAACAUCUCAUCCUGAGAAAGGUAACGGCACAUGUUGGUAUUUCCCUUCUAUGAAAACGAUGGCUUUUGCAUGGGUUAUCAAAGCACCUGUCCCCAUAGCCUCUCCUCACUGUGGCCUUCAAGGCUUUUCAAGUUUGCAGAGCAAGAACCCAAGUGAAUGAUGAGGGUUUGAUUCAGUUUAUGGGGAAUGGUGGUUAUUUCACUUUGCUCCCUUGUGCCAUUUGGGGAUGCUUACACAUUACCAAUUACUGAAAAAUAGGUUAAAUAUAACUUUUUUUUUUUGAUUGAUUGAUUGAUUGAAAAAAGAUAGGAUUUGAAAAUGGGGAACUGAUAUUUAUUUUGCAAAAUUUGACCCAAAUUUAUUAACUAUUUUAGUUCUUCUGAGAUUGUAAAAGAGCUAAUUAGGUGUUCACAGCAGAAAUGAUCUUACAGAAUAUUACUAUUCUGUUUUAUUGUCAUUAAACAAUAAAUAAUGAGCCACUAAGAAAUAGGAGGGGAACUGUGAAUGGCAGUUAUGGCAAGAUUGUUUAUUUCUGUGUAUAUUCUCAAGACCUGAAUUAAAUCACAUGUAUGGACUAGAAA